rnacentral:rRNA from 1 species
GACGUAGGGCGCGAGCGUUGUCCGGAUUUAUUGGGCGUAAAGAGCUCGUAGGCGGCUCGUUGCGUCGGCUGUGAAAACCCGCAGCUCAACUGUGGGCUUGCAGCCGAUACGGGCGGGCUGGAGUUCGGUAGGGGAGACUGGAAUUCCUGGUGUAGCGGUGGAAUGCGGCAGAUAUCAGGAGGAACACCGGUGGCGAAGGCGGGUCUCUGGGCAGUAACUGACGCUGAGGAGCGAAAGCGUGGGGAGCGAACAGG